rnacentral:rRNA from 1 species
GAUGAACGCUGGCGGCGUGCCUAACACAUGCAAGUCGUACGAGCUCGAUCUUCGGAACGGGUUAGUGGCGCACGGGUGAGUAACACGUAGGUGACCUACCCCAGAGUGGGGGAUAACUUCUCGAAAGAGAGGCUAAUACCGCAUACACUCGGUCAUUCAUUUGGCCGAGCAAAGCUCCGGCGCUUUGGGACGGGCCUGCGUCCGAUUAGCUAGUUGGUAGGGUAAUGGCUUACCAAGGCUUUGAUCGGUAGCUGGUCUGAGAGGACGAUCAGCCACACUGGCACUGACACACGGGCCAGACUCCUACGGGAGGCAGCAGUGAGGAAUAUUGGGCAAUGGGCGAAAGCCUGACCCAGCAACGCCGCGUGAGGGAUGAAGGCCUUC